UUAUUGGAGAGUUUGAUCCUGGCUCAGGAUGAACGCUGGCGGCGUGCCUAAUACAUGCAAGUCGAGCGAAUUGAAUAGAGCUUGCCUUAUGAAGUUAGCGGCGGACGGGUGAGUUAACACGGGCGUAACCUGCCCCAUUAAGACUGGAUAAUCCGCGGAAACCGCGGGCUAAUACCGGAUAACAUUUUUGAACUGCAGGUGGCUUCGAAAUUUGAAAGGCGGCCUUCGGCUGUCGCUUAUGGAUGGACCCGCCGUCGCAUUAGCCUAGUUGGUGAGGUAACGGCUCACCAAGGCAAACGAUGCCGAAGCCGACCUGAGAGUGAUCGGCCACAACUGGACUGAGACACGGCCCAGACUCCUACGGGAGGCAGCAGUAGGGAAUCUUCGCAAUGGACGAAAGUCUGACGGAGCAACGCCGGCGUGAGUGAUGAAGGCUUUCGGGUUCGUAAAACCUCUGUUGUUAGGGAAGAAACAAGUGCUGUUGAAUAAGGCUGGCCCUUGACGGUACCUAACCAGAAGGCCACGGCUAACUACGUGCCAGCAGCCGCGUAUUACGUAGGUGGCAAGCGUUAUCCGGAUUAUUUGGGCGUAAAGCGCGCGCAGUGGUUUCUUAAGUCUGAUGUGAAAGCCCACGGCUCACCGUGGGGGUCAUUUGAAAUGGGAGACUGAGUGCAGAAGAGGAAAGUGAAUUCCAUUGUUGUAGCGGCUGAAAUGCGUAGAGAUAUGGGGAACACCAGUGGCGAAGCGACUUUUCUUGGCUGUAACUGACAACUGAGGCGCGAAAGCGUGGAGCAAACAGGAUUAGAUACCCUGGUAGUCCAGGCGUAAACGAUGAGUGCUAAGUUGUUAGAGGGUUUCCGCCCUUUAGUGCUGAAGUUAACCGCAUUAAAGCACUCCGCGCCUGGGGAGUACGGCGCAAGCUGGAAACUCAAAGAAUGACGGGGGCCCGCACAAGCGGUGGAGCAUGUGCGUUUUAAUUCGAAGCAACGCGAAGAACCUUACCAGUCUUGACAUCCUCUGAAAACCCUAGAGAUUAGGGCUGUCUCCUUUCGGGAGCAGAGGGGGACAAGGUGGUCGCAUGGUUGUCGUCAGCUUUCGUGUCGUGAGGAUGUUGGGUUAAGUCCGCAACGCAGCGCAACCCUUAUUUUUUAGUUGCCUCAUUUUAAGUUGGGCACUCUAAGGUGACUGCGGUGAACAAACCGGAGGAAGGUGGAUGACGUUCAAUCAUCAUGCCCCUUAUGACCUGGCUACACCACGUUGCUACAAUGAACGUACAAAGAGCUGCAAGACCGCGGGUGGAGCUAAUCUCAUAAAACCGUUCUCAGUUCGGAUUGUAAAGCUGCAACUCGCCUACAUGAAGCUGGAAUCGCUAGUAAUCGCGGAUCAUGGCAUUGCGCGGUGAAUACGUUCCCGCGGCCUUGUACACACCGCCGUUCACACCACGAGGUUUGUAACAACCCGAAGUCGGGGGGAACCUUUUUUGGAGGCCAGCCGCCUAGGUGGGACAGAUGAUUGGGGUGAAGUCGUAACCAAGGUAGCGUAUCGAAGGUUGCGGCUGGAUCACCUCCUUUCUAUGGA
rnacentral:rRNA from 1 species